rnacentral:rRNA from 1 species
UACGGAGGGUGCAAGCGUUAUCCGGAUUCACUGGGUUUAAAGGGUGCGUAGGUGGGUUGGUAAGUCAGUGGUGAAAUCCCCGAGCUUAACUUGGGAACUGCCAUUGAUACUAUCAGUCUUGAAUACGGUGGAGGUCGACGGAAUAUGUCAUGUAGCGGUGAAAUGCUUAGAUAUGACAUAGAACACCGAUUGCGAAGGCAGUUCACUAAGGUUGUAUUGACACUGAGGCACGAAAGCGUGGGGAUCAAACAGG